GAAUCUCAGAAAGUGCAUCUAAGUCCGGAUUGGAGUCUGCAACUCGACUCCAUGAAGUCGGAAUCGCUAGUAAUCGCAAAUCAGAAUGUUGCGGUGAAUACGUUCCCGGGCCUUGUACACACCGCCCGUCACACCAUGGGAGUGGGUUGUACCAGAAGUAGAUAGCUUAACCUUCGGGGGGGCGUUUACCACGGUAUGAUUCAUGACUGGGGUGAAGUCGUAACAAGGUAACCGUAGGGGAACCUGCGGUUGGAUCACCUCCUUACCU
rnacentral:rRNA from 1 species